UCUCCGUAGGUGAACCUGCGGAAGGAUCAUUAUCGUACAAAAUGUGAGGCGAAUGCGAGGGCUGUAGCUGACCCAAAGGUCGUGCACGACCGAGUGUGUCGUCUUGCAUAAGCAUCCAUACCACCCUUUGUGCAUCGACGCGAGGGCACCCUUCGGGAUCGUCUCGGAGGGGGACUCGCGCUUACACACAAACCCAACUUUUAAAAGAGGAGAAUGACCACAUUGAUACAAUCAAAAAAACUAUCAACAACGGAUCUCAUAGCUCUGGCCUCGAUGAAG
rnacentral:misc_RNA from 1 species